UACGGAGGGUGCAAGCGUUAUCCGGAUUUAUUGGGUUUAAAGGGUCCGCAGGCGGACUUGUAAGUCAGUGGUGAAAGCCUUCAGCUUAACUGGAGAAUUGCCAUUGAUACUGCUAGUCUUGAGUUCGGUUGAAGUGGGCGGAAUAUGUAGUGUAGCGGUGAAAUGCAUAGAUAUUACAUAGAACACCUAUUGCGAAGGCAGCUCACUAAGCCGAUACUGACGCUCAGGGACGAAAGCGUGGGGAGCGACCAGG
rnacentral:rRNA from 1 species